ACUCGGUUAGCUCAGUUGUUAGAGCAUCAAACUUAAAAUCUAAAGGUCAUGGGUUCAAUUCCUUAUCGAGCA
rnacentral:tRNA from 1 species